rnacentral:rRNA from 1 species
UACAGAGGUCCCAAGCGUUGUUCGGAUUCACUGGGCGUAAAGGGUGCGUAGGUGGUCGUAUAAGUCUGAUGUGAAAUCUCGAAGCUUAACUUCGAAACUGCAUUGGAUACUAUUCGGCUAGAGGGUUGGAGGGGGGACUGGAAUUCUCGGUGUAGCAGUGAAAUGCGUAGAUAUCGAGAGGAACACCAGUGGCGAAGGCGAGUCCCUGGACAACUCCUGACACUGAGGCACGAAAGCUAAGGGAGCAAACAGG